rnacentral:rRNA from 1 species
UGAGCAAUCUGCCCUUCUCAUCGGAAUAAGCGUUGGAAACGACGUCUAAUGCCGAAUACGACCUCCUUUCGCAUGAUCGGAGGUGGAAAGCUCCGGCGGAGAAGGAUGAGCUCGCGGCCUAUCAGCUAGUUGGUGUGGGUAAUGGCCCACCAAGGCGACGACGGGUAGCCGGCCUGAGAGGGUGACCCGGCCACACUGGGACUGAGACAUGGCCCAGACUCCUAGGGACGG